rnacentral:rRNA from 1 species
AAUGAACGCUGGCGGCAGGCCUAACACAUGCAAGUCGAACGGAUCCUUCGGGAUUAGUGGCGGACGGGUGAGUAACGCGUGGGAACGUGCCCUUUGGGUCGGAAUAGCCUCGGGAAACUUGGAGUAAUACCGGAUAAGCCCUUCGGGGGAAAGAUUUAUCGCCAAAGGAUCGGCCGGCGUUGGAUUAGGUAGUUGGUGGGGUAAUGGCCUACCAAGCCGACGAUCCAUAGCUGGUUUGAGAGGAUGAUCAGCCACACUGGGACUGAGACACGGCCCAGACUCCUACGGGAGGCAGCAGUGGGGAAUCUUAGACAAUGGGGGAAACCCUGAUCUAGCCAUGCCGCGUGAUCGAUGAAGGCCUUAGGGUUGUAAAGAUCUUUCAGUUGGGAAGAUAAUGACGGUACCAACAGAAGAAGCCCCGGCUAACUCCGUGCCAGCAGCCGCCGUAAGAC